rnacentral:rRNA from 1 species
UAGUACGGCGAGUGAAGCGGGAAGAGCUCAAGCUUAAAAUCUGGGGCGCUUGCGUCUUCAGAAUUGUAGUUGAGAGAAGUGUUUUCACCGGGACGGGCGAUGGCCUAAGUUGCUUGGAACAGCACGUCAUAGAGGGUGAGAAUCCCGUCUGUGGUUGGUCGCUCCCCCGGAACGAUGCACUUUCAAAGAGUCGGGUUGUUUGGGAAUGCAGCCCAAAAUGGGUGGUAAACUCCAUCUAAAGCUAAAUAUUGCCACGAGACCGAUAGCGAACAAGUACCGUGAGGGAAAGAUGAAAAGCACUUUGAAAAGAGAGUUAAAAGGACGUGAAACCGUUGAAAGGGAAACGCGCUCGGCUAGCAAUGCACGCUCGUGGUUCAGCCGGCUAGUCCUGUGCGUCGUCGUGUGGUGGAUCCGAAUGGACUGCCCGCGGCGGCGGCGCUGGGCGAGCUGUGGUGCACUCUACGGGUGUGCGCGUCAGCGUCGGUUCUUGGGGAGUGAUGAGGUGCCGGAGGAAGGUAGCUCGCCUCUUUUGAGGGGAGUGUUAUAGACUCUGGUGCUGGGCUCGCCGAGGACCGAGGAGAGAGAUGAUCGCUGCGGCACCUGCCUCUCGGGCUAGCCAGCUGUUGUCAGAUGUGUGUCAGGCGUUGAGGACUGCACGCAGUGCUUGGUGUCUUGGCGUGGUCUGGUGGUGGUGUGGGCAUAGAGGUGCCUAGGACGCUGGCGUCCAAAUGGCCGUGCGCGACCCGUCUUGAAACACGGACCAAGGAGUCUAACAUGUGCGCGAGUCUUAGGGUGUGCAAGCCCUCGGGCGCAAUGAAAGUGAAGGUUCAGCGUUGGUUGAGCUGAGGUGAGAGCCGUUGCUGGCCUGACGCCACGGCGGCGCAUCAUCGGCCGGUCCAUCCUGCUCUCAGGAGGAUCCGAGCAAGAGCGUAUUUGUUGGGACCCGAAAGAUGGUGAACUAUGCCUGAAUAGGGUGAAGCCAGAGGAAACUCUGGUGGAGGCUCGUAGGGAUUCUAACGUGCAAAUUGAUCUCAAAAUUUGGGUAUAGGGCGAAAGACUAAUCGAAC